rnacentral:lncRNA from 1 species
AUGAGUUCACAUAACUAAGUCACCCAGAUAGGGUCUAAAUGUUCUCUGAAAUUUAAGUUAAGGAAACCUACUGCUACCUCUCCCUAUCUACUUCUAAAGCACAUGAUGCUAGGGAUAGGGUAAAAUUGUAUUUCUUGUUUAAGUGAGUUUGGGAAAUCUUAAGUUACCUCCAGGGGAAUUUUCUCAAGCACUGACAUUUCUCCAAUACUGCCACCCAGGAAAAUUGGUAGUGACAUGAUAUAUUAUCAUCACAUGCCUUUCCCAGAAUGGUCAAUGACAACCUUGACAACAGAGACUGAGGCACACUCUAGAUAUUACAAGGUAAAUAUAGCAUUUGUUUUAAUAUACUUCUUCAUUAUUUUAAAUCAAUAAUAAUUAAUAAAGUAGUUUUAAUAGAAAAAAAAUUUCUUAGUUCUAAAGGUAAACAUGAGUAUGUAAUCCACUGGAUUUUUUUUUAGCUAUAUGAAAGUAGACAUAUGCUCAACUUUGCUCAGUUUCACUUCUUUUUUUCCUUAAUUAAUAAAAUAAGAAUGAAAUAGUGUAUCCAUUCUUAAUUGUGAUUUUAAUUGAUGCAAAGAUCAAAUAAUAUAUAUAUGAUUUUUGAUACUAUAGUUAUGAUAGUCUAGAAAAAAAUGAUACUAGAAAUCCUAGUUUGUAUAGUAGCAUGCAAUUUACAUAGGGAUUUCAUUUAUGUUUGAAAGUGAAUGUUAGUAAAAAUCUGAGUUAAAUAUUUAUGCAAAUAUUUUAUACUAUAUUUCAUAAAGAAGAAAUGAGAAGGUUAAAAGGUAAAUGAUGUAUUUUAGUCACAUUGGUUAAGUGGCAGAAUUAAGGGUUAGUACUGACAUUUCUAACUCAGUGAUCUUUUGCUAUGAGAAAAAGCCUUUCCAUUUUAUUUAUUGCCUAAUAAUUGAUAGAAGUGAAUGUUGGAGUUUUAUGGAGGAAUGUAUAUAGCAAGUUAGUUAAUAUCAAUAAAAAAGCAUUCAGAUCCUCAUUAUGUGAAUGUCACCAGGCCAAGCACUUUACAUGCAUCAUCAUAUACAAUUUUUGUGAUAUGUCUACAGCAAUCGUGGUUUGAAUCUGAAAUGUUCUUCAACAUCUCAAGUGUUCAGAGGCAAAGCUUUAGGAACAUGAUUAGAUCCUGUGGGCUCUGAUCUUAUCAAUGGAUUAAUCUGGGAAGUGGUCCCUAGAUGAAGGACCUAGGUCACUGGGGCCAUGCCCUGGAAGCAUUUAAUUACUCUCUAGUUUCUCCCCCUACCCCUCUUUGUCUUUCCCUCCCAGUUGCUCUGAGGCAAGCAGUUUUCUUCUGCCACAUUCUUUUGCCAUGAUGUUCUGCCUCACCUUAGGGCCAAAUCGAUGGAACCACCAACCUGGGAAAAAAAAAUCUUAUGAAGCUGUGAAUAAAAAUAAAUCUUUCUUUUUCUAAGUUGUGUUUUCAGAUAUUUUGGUCACAGCAUAGAAAAGUUGAAUAGUGCAGAAAACAUAUUUUCAACACAUGAGCUUUAGGGAGAUACUUCAGAUUGGAAUCAUAACAUGUACUUAAAAUUUUAUUCUUUGGAAUAUAUUUGAAUGAGUAGUGAUAAGAUUAAACAGCUGUUUUCUGGGUUCUAUCAUAAAAAUACAGUUUUACAUGGUGAAAAUAUUUUGCUCUCUCUCAAAGUUCUCCUUAAGAUCCCGAACUCUUUAAAUUCAAAAUGGUAGGACAGCAGAAAAAAAUAUAUAUUUUUAAAAUUUUGUAAAAUUGGUAUAUUUAUUUUAUAAGCAAAUAUUUUACUUUUUUAUUUCUAUGAAUUUAUUGCAAUAAUGAUAUCAUUAGUUGAUAGAGAAUAAGUUUUGAAUACAAUUUUUUUAAACUUUUAAAAUUUUAAUUGUUAUAUAUGACAACAGAAUGCAUUAUAAUUCAUAUUACACAUAAAGAACACAAUUUUUCCUAUCUUUUGUUGUACACAAAGUAGAGUCACAUCCUUCAUGUCUUCAUACAUGUACUUAGGGUAAUGAUGACCAUUGCAUUCCACCAUCUUUCCUAUGCCUGUGUCCCCUCCCAUUCCCUCCUUCUCCAUUUCCCCUUUUUCUUAUUUAGAGUUUAUCUAAUCUUCCUUCCCCUGCAGCAUAUUAUGAGUCAGCAUCCUUAAAUCAGAGAAAUCAUUCAGCUUUUAGUUUUUUGGGAUUGGCUUGCUUCACUUAGCAUUAUAUUCUCCAGCUCCAUCCAUUUACCUGCAAAUGCCAUAAUUUUAUUCUCUUUUAAUUUUGAGAAAUGUAAUAUUGUGUAUAUAUACCAAAGUUUCCCUAUCCAUUCAUCUACUGAAGAGCAUUUGGGUUUGUUCCACAAUUUAGCUAUUGUGAAUUGUGCUGUUUUAAACAUUGAUGUGGCUGUGUCCCUGUAGUAUGCUUUUUUAAGUCCUUUGAGUAGACCAAGGAGUGGGAUAACUGGGUCAAUUGGUAAUUCCAUUCCAAGUUUUCCAAGAAUUCUCCAUAUACUGCUUUCCAGAAUGGCUGCACCAAUUUGCAGUCCCACAAGCAAUGUAUGAGUGUGCCUUUUCCUCCCACAUCCUUGUCAACAUUUACUAUUGUUUGUAUUCUUAAUAGCUGCCAUUCUAACUGGAGUGAGAUAAAAUCUUGGAGUAGUUUUGAUUUGCAUUUCUCUAAUUGGUAGAGUUGUUGAACAUUUUUUCAUGUUUGUUUAUUGAUUGUAUAUUCGCUUCUGAGAAGUGUCCAAUUUCUUGGCCCAUUUGUUGACUGGGUUAUUUGUUUUUUUGGUGUUAAGAUUUUUGAGUAUGUGUAACUAAUUAAAACAAAUAAAAAUUUAUAAAAAACGAUUUUGAGUGCCUUAUAUUUACUAGAGAUUAAUGAUCUAUCUGAUGUGCUUGUGUAAAGAUUUGCUCCCAUUCUGUAGGCUCUCUAUUUACCUCAGUAAUUGUUUCUUUUGCUGAGAAGUUUUUUUUGGUUUUAAUCCAUCCCAUUUAUUGAUUCUUGGUUUUAAUUAUUGUGCUAUAGGACUCUUAUUAAGGAAGUUGGGACCUAAUCCCACAUGAUGAAGAUUUGGCCGAUUUUUUUCAUCUAAUAGACGCAGUGUCUCUGGUUUAAUUCCUAGGUCCUUGAUCCACUUUGAAUUGAAUUUUGUGCAUGGUGAGAGAUAGGGGUUUAAUUUCAUUUUGUUGCAUAUGGAUUUUCAAUUUUCCUAGCACCAUUUGUUGAAGAGGCUAUCUUUUCUCCAAUGUACAUUUUUGGUGCCUUUGUCAAGUAUAAGAUAACUAUAAUUAUGUGCAUUAGUCUCUGUGUUCUCUAUUCUGUACCAUUGGUUUACAAAUAUAUUUUGGUGCCAAUACCAUGCUGUUUUUGUUACUAAUGCUCUUUAGUAUAGUUUGAGGUCUGGUAUAGUGAUGCCACCUCUUCUUGCUAAGGAUUGCUUUAUUAUGGGUCUCUUAUUUUUUUCCAGGUGAAUUUUGUGACUGCUUUUUCCAUUUAUAUGAGAUGUGGAUUGUGAUUGGAAUUGCAUAGGUAUAGUGCUAUUGGUAGUAUGGUCAUUUUGACUUAAAGAUAAGAACCACAUGAUCAUCUCAAUAAAUGAAGAAAAAGCAUUUAACAAAAUACUGCACCCUUUUCAUGUUCAAAACAUUAGAAAAAUUGGGGAUAACAGGAACAUAUCUCAUUAACACAAAAGCUAUCUAUGCUAAGCCCCAAGUCAACAUCAUUCUAAGUGGAGAAAAAUUGAAAGCAUUCCCUCUAAAAAUUGGAACAAGACAGGGAUGCCCUCUUUCACCACUUCUAUUAAACAUAGUUUUGGAACACUGGCCAGAGCAAUUAGACAGACAAAAGAAAUUAAUGGGAUAUAGAUAAGUAAAGAAGAACUCAAAUUGGUACUAUUUUCUGAUGAUGUGAUUGUAAACCUAAAAGACCCAAAAAAUUUCACCAGAAAACUUCUAGAACUAGUAAAUGCAUUCAGCAAAGUAGGUAGGUAGAACUAGAACUAGAACUGUUGUGUUGCUGCAUGUUACCUCCAUGUUGUGCAGGUGAUUCAUUAACACUAAAUAUGUUUUUUUUUCAGUUACUUUAUCUUUGUAUCAAAUUAGGUUGAUAGAAAAUCAACACCUGUAAAUCAAAGACAUUUCUGUUUUUCAGUGACAAAUCCUCUAAAAGGAAAUGAGGAAAACUACCCCAUUUACAGUAGUAUUAAAAAAAAUGAGAAUCAACUUAACAAAAGAGGUGAAACACCUUUACAAUGAAAACUACAGAAUGCUAAAGAAAGAAAUUAAAGAAGACCUUAGAAGAUGGAAAGAUCUACCUUGUUCUUGUAUAGGCAGAAUUAAUAUUGAAUACAAUUAAAAAAAUA